AUGACUAUAUUGGAUAAAAACGAGAAAUAAAUAAAACCGAAUUAAUUUAAACAGAGAAAUGUAAGCUACACUAGGAAAUCGAUUUAUGAAUGAGUGAAUGAAGGUGUUGCUGAAAUUUUGAGUAAAGACUCACUGUUUUGAUACAACAAAACUACUUGGUUCAGUAUAUAAAUUAGUGAAUUGCAAACCUUUUUUUUGAAUAAAGGAUAUGAAAAAUAUUGUUUUAGUUCACUUCUCAACUGCAUCCUUCUGGAAUUAACAAUUCGUAAAUAAUGAAACCGUUUUA